GCUUACGACCAUAUCACGUUGAAUACACGCCAUCCCGUCCGAUCUGGCAAGUAAGCAACGUUGAGUCCAGUUAGUACACAGGUUUUGCGCGAUAGGCC
rfam:Caenorhabditis japonica strain DF5081 Contig5233.3, whole genome shotgun sequence.